GGAGUUCUGAGCACUGAAGAGCUGGGGAGGGGGUGGUUGCAGUGUAUAGCGUGUGAUCUGCUUGUAACAGUUUCGUUGCAUUAUACUAAGGGUUACUCUACCUAGAAAAGGGCGGAGGUGAAAGGAUGCAACGCAACGCUAAUUUCACCAGCGGAAGAAGCGGGUACAGACCUUAAUGAGUCCCCGUUUUGAUCGACUGAUAAGGGAAUGGGGAAAUUGAAGCCAGGACUCGAUGCAGAUUGGCUACGGAUCCAAAACGCCCACUAAGCUUGGCCCGUCCCAGUCUCCACCCCAAACCUGACUCAGGCAAGAGAACCCACUGGGGGAUGAGCCCGAACUAGGGAUGUGACAGAGCGCGAGACCCAGCCUAGAGAGAGCCCGGAGCCAGCGUGGGAGGCCGCUGCCGUCGCGCGCCUUGGUGAGUGCCCUCCACCCGGCCCCCUGCUCCCUCCCCCAGCUCUCCCCGGCUACGCGGCCAGCCCUCGGCGUGCCAGCGCGAGACCCUUUGCCACCCGCCCCCCCCCCCCGCCACCGCCCUUUUGCGCCUGCGCGAGACCCCCAGCUACCGCACGGUUGUCCAGAGGACAGAAGAUCCGCCUUCUCAUUGGGCAGCGGGACUGGAGGGUUCUGGUUCGGAUUGACCGGCUUUGUGUUCCGUUCUAGCGCUGCACGCCAGACACCGGCCUUUCAAUAUCCGUCUCUUCCCUGCAGGUUGACGGCGUUGCACGCUCUCGCGGGGAGGCUCUGGCUUUCCAAACGCUGGCACCGAGGGUUGCAGUUCUGAUUCGUUUUCUUUCCUCUGUCCCCCAGUUGCAGUUUUCAGGACUACGUAGGGGAGGGAAUAGCUUUUUGUUGAACGGUUUAAGACGCUGACCUGUGCAACCGGACCACGCCUGGUUCCUGUGUCUCUUACCAAACCGUGACCCCGGAGCACAGGACUGGGUUUGGUGGUCGUGAGCAGUUUGUGACCCUUGAAGGAAGACACCAGGCCUGGUCCUGUAUCUCCCUCGCCAGACUGUGACCAGGGAGGGCUGGGAUCAGACUUUGACCCCCGAGGGCUGAGACCGGGACUGUUUCUACCACAUCAUAAUAUGGUUUCUAAAGGGCUGGAACAAGCUUUCAGUCUUUCUGUGGCCUUGUGUUUCAGUCAUGUUCUUUUUCUUUUCUUUUUUAUUUUAUUUUGAGACAGAGUCUCGCUCUGUUGCCCAGGCUGGAGUACAGUGGCA
rnacentral:lncRNA from 1 species